GAUGAACGCUGGCGGCGUGCUUAACACAUGCAAGUCGAACGGAAAGGCCCAAGCUUGCUUGGGUACUCGAGUGGCGAACGGGUGAGUAACACGUGGGUGAUCUGCCCUGCACUUCGGGAUAAGCCUGGGAAACUGGGUCUAAUACCGGAUAGGACCACAUUUUGGAUGGUGUGGUGGAAAGUUUUUCGGUGUGGGAUGAGCUCGCGGCCUAUCAGCUUGUUGGUGGGGUAAUGGCCUACCAAGGCGUCGACGGGUAGCCGGCCUGAGAGGGUGUACGGCCACAUUGGGACUGAGAUACGGCCCAGACUCCUACGGGAGGCAGAAGUGGGGAAUAUUGAACAAUGGGCGCAAGCCUGAUGCAGCGACGCCGCGUGGGGGAUGACGGCCUUCGGGUUGUAAACUCCUUUCGCUAGGGACGAAGCGCAAGUGACGGUACCUGGAGAAGAAGCACCGGCUAACUACGUG
rnacentral:rRNA from 1 species